AACAACCUAUAUUUGAAAUGCAUUGAAUUAUUGCUAGAAUAAAUACAGGCAAUAAAUUCAAAAAAAAAUUAAUAAAAGGAAAUGAAUUAUUUGACACUCAAACGUUAUUACCCCAAAGCUUUAAUUUAUACAAUAUAAAUAGUUAAAAGGCAAAAUCAAGUUUCUUUUUUUCCCCCACUUGUGUUGUUUAUUUGUUUUGUUUCCUUUUUUUAAAAAAAAUUAAUACUGAUCCAUUCAAUUGCUAAAAAGGGUUUGUCUGUGCCCAGCUGAAGCAUAUAUUAAAAAUAAAUUUGCAAGCCAGCAUGCUUGUCUCCAUAUCACAGACAAAUAAAAGGGAAGUGUGUUGCACAUCAUUUUAUGGCAGAGAAAGAAGCAAGCCUUCAUCUUAAUAAAAGAUGGUUGAAGAGGUGUCUGAAAUCAGAUGAAUGUAUUUUCCACAAUCCAGUUAAGAAACUAGACUUGCAAACCAGUGUGGUGCUGAUAAUACUUCAGUAAAUAUCCUUUGAAAAAUAGUAUUAUAUGAUUUUGCCCACCCGGUAGGCAUUAGGCCCCCCAAAAUUAUUUUUUUAAACUAGAACCAUACUUACAGGCAUAACGUUUCUCAAUGUUAACCAUUUUAAGACUUCAACCCCCAGAAGUCAAGAAGCUGUUUGGGGAAUUCAGGAAGUUAAAGUUUACACAUCUUCAAAUGGUCAACGUGUGAGGAAAAGGCUGGUAUGGGUGAACUUGGAAUAGAUGGAAUUACUACAGCCUGUGUCCAUGUUUAUUCAUUUCACAAAGUUACAUCUAGUGUGCUCAUGUUACCUUGGAGUAAAUCACAUUCAGGGUUUUAUAGUAAACACUUAUGAGAUUAUAUUAUUAAUCACAUCUCUGUAUUGAAAUCAAUGGGUCAUUAGACUUAUUUAAAUAAUCUUCCAUAAGCUGGCAUUCUACUGAUUGGCAAGAUUGAAGUUUCCAGCCACCCUUAAAGCCAAUUGCCACGCUGAUUGAGAAUCCUGGAUGGAAAAUGUUUAAGAUGAGAUAUUGGGUUAAUAUGUGACUAACCUA